UGCCCCGUGGUGUAACUGGUAACACGCCCGAUUUUGGUUCGGGAGACGGAACUCGCUUGUUCAGGUUCGAACCCUGGCGGGGCAG
rnacentral:tRNA from 1 species